rnacentral:lncRNA from 12 species
GCCAGAAGAAAAUUAAGAAACUGGAAAAAAUAUUUAGAGUGGGAAGGUUCAGGGAAGUUUCAGGGAAGUUUCAGGGAAGUUUCAGGGAAGGGAAGGGAAGGGAAGGGAAGGGAAGGGAAGGGAAGGGAAGGGAAGGGAAGGGAAGGGAAGGGAAGGGAAGGGAAGGGAAGGGAAGGGAAGGG